AUUACAUUCGCAGUUGCCUCCUAAGAGUUUUCGCCUUGCCGGGCUUGAGAGCUAAUGCUGCUAAAUCCUUCCUUGGAUGUCUGA
rnacentral:snoRNA from 1 species